rnacentral:rRNA from 1 species
GCCCUAGCAGUAAAUUAUGCAGACUGUGGUGUUGCGUCGACUUCGAGUCGGCGCAGUGCUGUAGCGUAGGUGUUAAGUCUGCCACCUGGGGAGUACGGCCGCAAGGUUGAAACUUAAAGGAAUUGGCGGGGGAGCACCACAAGGCGUGGAUGCUGCGGUUCAAUUGGAUACAACGCCGGGAAUAUUACCGGGGGCGACGGCAGGAUGAAGGUCAGUCUAAAGAACUUACCUAACGAGCCGAGAGGUGCUGCAUGGCCAUCGU